ACACAUACACACACAUACACACACAUACACACGAACAUGGAAUCGUUAUGUACGAAAAGUGUGACAACUCGAGCGCUGAGAGCUUUAUUCUUCUAUGAGAAAAUCCCUUAAAACCAUCUACAAACUCAACGGUGAUUUAAAUCAAAUCGAAAACUGAAGAAAAUGGAUACAAGCAGACGAGAAAUGCACCUGAUACGGACCAAACAGAAAUGCAGACGAUACGGACGAAACACUUCUUUCAAAAUCUUUUUACAGUUGGCCGGAUUGGAGCCGGACAUUUUGAAAGGAAAAUAAUGUACCAAAUCAAAUUUAUUUAUUUAU